rnacentral:tRNA from 1 species
GUGGCGCAAUGGAAGCGCGUCGGUUUCCGGAGCCGAAGGUUGCGGGUUCAAGUCCCGCCG